GACAGAGGGUGCAACCGUUGUUCGGAAUUACUGGGCGUAAAGCGUGUGUAGGCGGUCCAUUAAGUCGGGUGUGAAAGCCCUGGGCUCAACCCAGGAAGUGCACUCGAAACUGGCGGGCUAGAGUAUCGGAGAGGUUGGUGGAAUUCUCGGUGUAGAGGUGAAAUUCGUAGAUAUCGAGAGGAACACCGGUGGCGAAGGCGGCCAACUGGACGAAUACUGACGCUGAGACACGAAAGCGUGGGGAGCAAACAGG
rnacentral:rRNA from 1 species